AUUGAACGCUGGCGGCAGGCUUAACACAUGCAAGUCGAGCGGGGGAAGGUAGCUUGCUACCGGACCUAGCGGCGGACGGGUGAGUAAUGCUUAGGAAUCUGCCUAUUAGUGGGGGACAACAUCUCGAAAGGGAUGCUAAUACCGCAUACGUCCUACGGGAGAAAGCAGGGGAUCUUCGGACCUUGCGCUAAUAGAUGAGCCUAAGUCGGAUUAGCUAGUUGGUGGGGUAAAGGCCUACCAAGGCGACGAUCUGUAGCGGGUCUGAGAGGAUGAUCCGCCAAACUGGGGAUGAGACACGGCCAGACUCCUACGGGAGGCAGCAGUGGGGAAUAUUGGACAAUGGGGGGAACCCUGAUCCAGCCAUGCCGCGUGUGUGAAGAAGGCCUUAUGGUUGUAAAGCACUUUAAGCGAGGAGGAGGCUACUCUAGUUAAUACCUAGGGAUAGUGGACGUUACUCGCAGAAUAAGCACCGGCUAACUCUGUGCCAGCCGCCGCAGUAA
rnacentral:rRNA from 1 species